rnacentral:rRNA from 1 species
GACAGAGGGUGCAAACGUUGUUCGGAAUUACUGGGCGUAAAGAGCGUGUAGGCGGCUUGUUAAGUCUUGCGUGAAAUCUCGGGGCUCAACCCCGAGCGGUCGUGAGAAACUGGCAGGCUAGAGUGCGGGAGAGGAGAGUGGAAUUCCUGGUGUAGCGGUGAAAUGCGCAGAUAUCAGGAAGAACACCCGUGGCGAAGGCGGCUCUCUGGAACGCAACUGACGCUGAGACGCGAAAGCGUGGGGAGCAAACAGG